UAACACAAAGCAGAAUGCAGAAUUCUCCGCAUUUUCCGCCGUUAGAGGACUUCCGGACCUCCGAUUCCAAUUCCGUAGAAAACUAUACGUUCGGGAAAACACGACUCACACAAUUACGGAUUCAAUUUCAGUUUCAACACAACUUAUCCAACACAAUUAUUCAGCAUUCAACAAAUCCCAAUUAGGGUCAAUUCAACGGUUUAUCACUACCCAUUACAUGCUAACCCAUAAUCCCCAUUAAACGACGAUAAACCCCCCUUACCUGGUUAAUCCGACAAAUCUUUGAGCUCCAAGCUCUUCUCUUCUCCAACCUUUG
rnacentral:lncRNA from 1 species